UCCGAGUUGACCCCGGCAGUCUCCUACGUGUCCCCGGCAUAACCCGCUGGCAACAUAGGACAAGGGUUGCGCUCGUUGCGGGACUUAACCCAACACCUCACGGCACGAGCUGACGACAACCAUGCACCACCUGUGUACGGCCCCGAAGGACACCAUAUCUCUAUGGCUUUUCCGUACAUUUCAAGCCUUGGUAAGGUUCUUCGCGUUGCAUCGAAUUAAUCCACAUGCUCCGCCGCUUGUGCGGGCCCCCGUCAAUUCCUUUGAGUUUCAGCCUUGCGGCCGUACUCCCCAGGCGGGGCGCUUAAUGCGUUAGCUACGGCACGGAUCCCGUGGAAGGAAACCCACACCUAGCGCCCACCGUUUACGGCGUGGACUAC
rnacentral:misc_RNA from 1 species